UACAGAGGCCCCGAGCAUUAUCCGGAAUCACUGGGCGUAAAGGGUGUCAAGGCGGUCGUAUUAGUCUCGCGUAAAAUCCAGGAGCUUAACUUCUGGCCGGCGCGGGAAACGGUACGACUCGAGGGCGUAAGAGGUCUACGGAACUCAUGGUGUAGGGGUAAAAUCCGUUGAUAUCAUGGGGAACACCAAAGGCGAAGGCAGUAGACUGGUACGUUCCUGACGCUCACACACGAAAGCCAGGGGAUCGAACGGG
rnacentral:rRNA from 1 species